AUUGAACGCUGGCGGCAGGCCUAACACAUGCAAGUCGAACGGUAACAGAAAGCAGCUUGCUGCUUUGCUGACGAGUGGCGGACGGGUGAGUAAUGUCUGGGAAACUGCCUGAUGGAGGGGGAUAACUACUGGAAACGGUAGCUAAUACCGCAUAACGUCGCAAGACCAAAGAGGGGGACCUUCGGGUCUCUUGCCAUCGGAUGUGCCCAGAUGGGAUUAGCUAGUAGGUGGGGUAAAGGCUCACCUAGGCGACGAUCCCUAGCUGGUCUGAGAGGAUGACCAGCCACACUGGAACUGAGACACGGUCCAGACUCCUACGGGAGGCAGCAGUGGGGAAUAUUGCACAAUGGGCGCAAGCCUGAUGCAGCCAUGCCGCGUGUAUGAAGAAGGCCUUCGGGUUGUAAAGUACUUUCAGCGGGGAGGAAGGGAGUAAAGUUAAUACCUUUGCUCAUUGACGUUACCCGCAGAAGAAGCACCGGCUAACUCCGUG
rnacentral:rRNA from 1 species